UACGUAGGGGGCAAGCGUUGUCCGGAAUCAUUGGGCGUAAAGAGCGUGUAGGCGGCUCGGUAAGUCCGCUCUGAAAGCCCGGGGCUCAACCCCGGGAGCGGGCGGAUACUGUCGGGCUAGAGUCCGGAAGAGGCGAGUGGAAUUCCUGGUGUAGCGGUGAAAAUGCGCAGAUAUCAGGAGGAACACCAAUGGCGAAGGCAGCUCGCUGGGACGGUACUGACGCUGAGACGCGAAAGCGUGGGGAGCAAACAGG
rnacentral:rRNA from 1 species